AACAAAAACAAACAAACCAAAAACCCGACAAACCGCUCACAUUUUCCCCUUUUAAAUAAUACGGAUUAUUUUCCCUGUGCAUGAAUGGAGAAGACGGGAAAAAGACAGACGGAGGAAAAAUACCGACACACACUCUCUCACACACACACACACACACACACACACGGAGCGCGCGCACAGGAGCAGAAAGAGAAAUGUCGGGGAAAAGCGGUGAUUGCGCGCGGAGUGAAGCGGCUCGAGCGCGCGUCUGCUCGCAGUCACUUACUUGUCUGUGUCCUGUGACAUGAUGAUGUUUUUGGCCUCCUCGGCGAUAAUUCCUGGAGAAACUGGACUUUCAGCCCUGAUUCUGCGCUCCCAUUGGUCAAGGUGUGUAAGGAGGUCGAGCUGUGAUUGGCUGAAACAGCACAGAAAUUAGCGAGGGAUGAGUGCCAUCCUCCCACGGCUCUGAGCUGAGAAACCUUCCUCAGAUCAGGCACGGACACGCAGCCAGACCUGACCGGACAGACGAGUUUCUCUGUAAGCUGUGUUUUUUUGGACAAGAGAGAGAAAAAAGAGAGGCUGGAGAGGGAACGACUGGUUAUAGCUGCUAUAACGUAAGUGACAACAGGAACUAACUUCAAGGAGUUUAAAAAAUCAUUCAAAUGUGUAACCCAGCUAGUAAACCGUUAGAGAGCUAAUCUUUAAAAAAAAAAUCUUACCUGAUGGACCUUUAAAUAUACAGUACUGUUCAAAAGUCUAUUUUUUUUUACUACAAACUUUGUUAUAGAUGUUUAUUUUCUGACUUCUACAUUACUGAUUCAGUACAAAAACAUUUUAGAUUCCAAACAUUAGUUUUCCGGCACAAAAUGAAACGUUACAGAAAAAUGUUUGUAUGUCAGUAAAGAAAGCAGCAGAUUCCAUAAGAGACACUUUUCAGAUAAAAACAGAAUGAAGGCUGCUGGGUUUCGCUGCAGAAAUAAGAAGCGAGUCGACAGUCAAAGUCUCCAGAAGAACUGUGGCUGCUUCUGCAAGAUGCUCAGUAACACUUCCAGCUCAUUUCCUUAUAAAACUGCACACACUGCACCUCAGAUACUGCUUUAUUUUAUUUAAAGUGAAGGAUCGUCACAUUAAAUACUGACUUUGUUUCAUUUAUUACUGUUUACUGCUCUUUAUAGGAUUUUUUAAAAAUGUAGAAACAUUUAAUUUCAUUAUUUUUGAAGGAAUCUUUGCUCUAAAGCAUUUCUACAGCAUGUGCCAAAGACUUUUGCACAAUACUGUAACUAUAAAUGGAUAAAAAUUAUGAUGUGUUGUUCUUUAAUAACAAAAAUUUGUCUACUAAUUGUGUUUUGGGAGUCGGGCUCUAGAAGCUCGGAUUUCAGUGCUCGGUCCUGUGUGUGUGUGUGUGUGUGUAUGUGUGUGUGUGUGUGUGUGUGUGUGUGUGUGUGAGUGCAGAAGAACCCCCGAUCUGCGCUGGAACUUCAGGUCCUCGGCUCUAAACACACGGGUUUGUGUCUCCUCUGUACUUCAUUAGCAGCGUAAACACACAGCUGCAUUGUGAGCUGAAGGCUGAGGGUCGAAACCUUCAGCGCGUAAACACACACACUAUUGUUUUCAGGUGUCUGAGACAAAGCACUCGGUCAGUGGGGAAGAUAAUCAGAUUUACUGAGAUCAGAUAAACAUCUCACUGUCCUGUCCUCACACACACACACACACACACACACACACACACAUACACACACACCCCUCAUCCAAUCACUAACACAAACCUGCAAUAAUAUUAAUUUUACACCACAGCCUUUUAGAGCGGUUCUGUCUCGUGAUCUCGAGUUUGAUGUUGAAAAAUCAAGGCAUGUUGAAAGAUUUAGUCUUUAGGUUAUUGUUCUAAAAAUAAAGAAAACCUUUUUUUUGCUUGUUUGUUAUGUAAUCCUACUAUAGCACUACAAAGUUUUUUGGGAGAAAAUACACUAAAAUGGUGCAUUUAUGCUUUGGUUUGUGUUAAAAUUCAUGUUAGUAGAGACUAAAAUUGAAAAAGUCA